rnacentral:rRNA from 1 species
UACAGAGGUCCCAAGCGUUGUUCGGAUUCACUGGGCGUAAAGGGUGCGUAGGCGGGUCUUUAAGUCAGGGGUGAAAUCCUGGAGCUCAACUCCAGAACUGCCUUUGAUACUGAGGAUCUUGAGUUCGGGAGAGGUGAGUGGAACUGCGAGUGUAGAGGUGAAAUUCGUAGAUAUUCGCAAGAACACCAGUGGCGAAGGCGGCUCACUGGCCCGAUACUGACGCUAAGGCACGAAAGCGUGGGAGCGAACAGG